rnacentral:lncRNA from 1 species
GAAAAACUGAGGCCCAGGGAGGAAAGUGCGAAGGGACUGGAAUGGAGAUCCUGAGCGGUCCUGGGUGCCGGGGCCCCGACCGGGGCUGAGCUGGUCCCCUGGUCGGGACGGCUGGGCAGAGGUGCCGAGGGGCCGCGGGCGGCCCUUCGCUGGCUCAUUCGCAUCCGCAGCCCCUCAAGAAGGCCCUGGGCCCGCAGGGAGGAAGAGGUGAGCACCCGACAGGAAGGAGAUGGGCUUGGGGGCUCGGGGCGUGCCCUGGGGCAGGUGGAGCGUCCGGCCUCUGAUGUCCCGCGCAGGACACUGAGGUCGCGGUGCAGAGAAGGGUCGGCUUGAGGAUCUGACAGCCUUGCCCGCGUUGGAGACGGGGAAAGGCUCGCAGAACUAAGUUUACCUGGAAGGUCCUCUCCUGCGCUGGCUCUGGGGGUGCUUGGAACCAGAGCCCCUUAGUCGAAGCGCGUCCUGCUGCCAGCUACUACCAAGUCCUUAGGCCGAGCCCGUUUCUCUCCUGGUGAUGUGAAUCCUCGUUUUUUGUUGUUGUUGUUGUCGUUUACUGAAGUCCCGGGCUGAUUAGACACAGCAAUGGAAGCUGGGGGUGGCCUGGGCCGUGCAUUGAAUUUGUGACUUUAGCAAGUCCCUAAAUUCCUCUCUGCCUCACUUUUGCUGUCUUUUUUAGGUUAAAAAUAUUUUGGAGAAUAGAAAACAGAACAAAACAAAAAUAAUGGCUUAUAGUGCCAAUAUGGAAUUAUAGUCACUCCUAACAUUUUGGUAUAUUGUUUUGCAUUUGCUUUGUUUCUAUUCUAUGCUUAUAUAUUUUUAAUUUUUUUCCAUCACUGUCAUCAUAUUUCCUAUUCAGGUCUCCAGCCUGCUUUAAAAAUUUUUUAAUCAUAAAGUUCCAUAAAAAUUUUAUUUCAGCCAAUUUCUUUUAUAACACGUUCUUCAUGAAUCUUAUCUGAUAUCUGCAUAAUAUUCCACUCAUACUUUGCACAAUUAGACAUUAAGGUCGUGUGUACUUUUUAAAUUAUGAUACAGCAAUUUCUAAAUAGUGUAUAAUUUCAAUUUUUGUUUCUUAGUUAUCAUAACAGUUCUUAAAAGGUGAUAACAAAUUUUUAAGUGGAUACAUUUUUUCCCCCUUCUUUGGUUUAUAAUUUUAUUGCUCUGUGGUCUGAGAAUGUGGCUGUAUUUACGCUUUUUGAAAUUGAAGUUUUUGAUUGAUGGUUGAUUUCGUAAAUAAGUUUAGGCACAGUUUUGUAUAAAUGAUUGGGCACAAAAUUCUUUAUAUUAGAUCAAGCUUUGUAAAAUGUAUUAUCCAUAUCUGCUAUGUCUUUUUAAAAUUUUUAUCUACUUGAUCUAAUUUCUGAAAGAGCUGUAAGUUUUUUAAAUGUGUUUGUGGAUUUACUAUUUCUUCUUUAUAUAUAUAUAUAUAUAUAUAUAUAU